UGGUGCAGGGGUUGAGCCUGAGUGAGUGGGAAGGCAUUGUCACUGUGUCCGGAGAUGGGCUGCUUUAUGAGGUGCUGAAUGGGCUCCUCGACCGCCCAGAUUGGGAAGACGCUGUGCGGAUGCCCAUUGGUGUCCUCCCCUGUGGUUCGGGCAAUGCACUAGCUGGGGCAGUUAACCAUCAUGGCGGGUAUGUUGACUGCUGCUGAGACAGCUAGGGAUACCUGCUAAAGAGAGGGAUGAGUCUUUGGGACUUCAGGGUCUGAUAUCUUAUUAUCCAGCACCCACUACCCCUUACCCAAGAGCAAGUUCUGUGGCUGGCCUGUAGAAUAUCUUCAGUCAGGGAUGCUUAUGGGGGGCUCCAGGUUAUGACUCCUGGUGGCAGGCAUUGCUGCGCCUGCCACCCUUUCCCCUCUGUGUCUCACUCCUCAUUGCCCUUUCCCAUUGUGACACCUCUCUCUGAUUGUGAAGGUUUGAGCAAACUGU
rnacentral:lncRNA from 1 species